rnacentral:rRNA from 1 species
AACGCGAAGAACCUUACCUACACUUGACAUGUCUGGAAUCCUAGAGAGAUUUGGGAGUGCCCGAAAGGGAAUCAGAACACAGGUGCUGCAUGGCUGUCGUCAGCUCGUGUCGUGAGAUGUUGGGUUAAGUCCCGCAACGAGCGCAACCCUUGUCAUUAGUUGCUACGCAAGCGCACUCUAAUGAGACUGCCGGUGACAAACCGGAGGAAGGUGGGGAUGACGUCAAGUCCUCAUGGCCCUUAUGUGUAGGGCUUCACACGUCAUACAAUGGUCGGUACAGAGGGUUGCCAACCCGUGAGGGGGAGCUAAUCCCAGAAAGCCGAUCGUAGUCCGGAUCGUAGUCUGCAACUCGACUACGUGAAGUCGGAAUCGCUAGUAAUCGCGGAUCAGCAUGUCGCGGUGAAUACGUUCCCGGGUCUUGUACACACCG